rnacentral:rRNA from 1 species
UGGGGAAUAUUGCACAAUGGGGGAAACCCGUGAUGCAGCGACGCCGCGUGAAGGAAGAAGUAUCUCGGUAUGUAAACUUCUAUCAGCAGGGAAGAAAAUGACGGUACCUGACUAAGAAGCACCGGCUAAAUACGUGCCAGCAGCCGCGGUAAUACGUAUGGUGCAAGCGUUAUCCGGAUUUACUGGGUGUAAAGGGAGCGUAGACGGAGAGGCAAGUCUGAUGUGAAAACCCGGGGCUAACCCCGGGACUGCAUUGGAAACUGUACUUCUGGAGUGCCGGAGAGGUAAGCGGAAUUCCUAGUGUAGCGGUGAAAUGCGUAGAUAUUAGGAGGAACACCAGUGGCGAAGGCGGCUUACUGGACGGUAACUGACGUUGAGGCUCGAAAGCGUGGGGAGCAAACAGGAUUAGAUACCC